rnacentral:misc_RNA from 1 species
GAUGAAGAACGUAGCGAAAUGCGAUAAGUAAUGUGAAUUGCAGAAUUCAGUGAAUCAUCGAAUCUUUGAACGCACAUUGCGCCCGCCAGUAUUCUGGCGGGCAUGCCUGUUCGAGCGUCAUUACAACCCUCAGGCCCCCGGGCCUGGCGUUGGGGAUCGGCGGAAGCCCCCUGCGGGCACAACGCCGUCCCCCAAAUACAGUGGCGGUCCCGCCGCAGCUUCCAUUGCGUAGUAGCUAACACCUCGCAACUGGAGAGCGGCGCGGCCACGUCGUAAAACACCCAACUUCUGAAUGUUGACCUCGAAUCAGGUAGGAAUACCCGCUGAACUUAAGCAUAUCAUAAGCGGAGGA